CUCAGGAGACUAAGCAGCACAGCUCUUUCCAAUGCACUGCUGAUUAAGGCAGCUAGAAGAGUGAGGGUUUUGGGACCCGUAGGUUUUCUCUGGUUUGCAAGCAGAGGGGUUGCUAUAGCCCUUGUGUGAGGCAUUUAGUGCUAUCAAGUGGCAGUGAACCAGGGCUUUGAGAAAGAAGAAACAGAAGACGAAGGCAAAAUGAAAACAAAGCAGGGGAGGAGCAUUUCUAGACCAAAGAAGGCUGAACUAGGUUUGAAAGGGCAAUGAUGAGAAUCCACAGGUUCCUUCCAGUUGCUGCUGUAGAUGACAGCUGAUCAUCCCAAGAGGCAGCAGUGGUUGGUAGGACUUGGGCAAAGCUACUAUGCCUUCAGACAGCCUGUGGAGAUCAGCUCUGAGCAGUGCUUACACUAAAUGAAGGACUUUUCAGCUUCUCACACUGCCCUGCAAAGAGGAGGCUGGGGCUGCACAAGAAGCUGAGAGGGGACACAGCCAGAACAGCUGACCCAGAACGUACCAUAUGGUGUGCUCAGUUAAAAAAAAAAAAAUAAAAAAAAAUAUAUAUAUAUAGAAAAGGGAAAUUUGUUGUUGGUCUUGGGGGUUGUUGUGGUGAGCAAUUGCCUUGUGCAGCACUCAAAUAUUUU
rnacentral:lncRNA from 1 species